UGUGCGAGUGUCCGUGGAUGGUUUUCACUACUGAGGGCUACGCGACGACACAAAGGACAUGUACAGCUCAUCCAGUUCCACCUUUAUCCAUGGAAAGUAAUAAACUGUUUUAAAAGAAAUGUUGCGAGACACAUUUUGUGUUUCUUACGUUGAUGUCCUCUCCUGUUUUGGCUAGCAUGAUAGUCCACACAGGAACCAUUUCAUGUGCAAUAACUGUUUGUAGACGUAAAUGAGCAGGAUGCAUGGGGCGUGGGAGUGUAAUGUAAUUUAUGUAAAAUAAAGAGCAUUGAUUCUGCGU